CAUCACAUCCUGGGGCUGUAGUAGGUCCCAAGGGUUGGGCUGUUCGCCCAUUAAAGUGGUACGCGAGCUGGGUUCAGAACGUCGUGAGACAGUUCGGUCCCUAUCCGUCGCAGGCGUAGGAAAUUUGCGAAGACCUGUCCUUAGUACGAGAGGACCGGGAUGGACGUACCUCUGGUGUACCAGUUGUUCUGCCAAGGGCAUGGCUGGGUAGCU
rnacentral:rRNA from 1 species